AGGUCGAGCGCGAGGGGGUCGUUCGUUCUCAUACUCGUUGGAACCGGUUGGGGUGAGGAGAGUGGAGGGGGUGGAACUAAAAGCGCCGGCAGCAAUUGGAGGAGAGCAACGGUUUAAAAAACCGCGGGGACGCCCACCAUUGGCUGCUGAGGACUACGCUCGGCUUUUACCUGAACGCCUGUAUGGAAUACAUCAUGAUGUGGCAAUAGUGACAGUAAAAUUCUACUUUGAGAAGUGAUUGGUUUUGAUUGACUACAGUCUGCAGCUGAAAGGUUAUGUACCUGAGAAACUGGUGUUUACCUGACUGAUAAUAGAGGUGAAUUAGAACUGCUCUAAAUCUUAAUGUCACCUAACUUCACUAAUAAUAAUUUGGUUGAAAGAGAAAGCAAUUUUAGCUCUAGAUUAUUAGCACAUUUUGUUACAGAAAAAGAUUAAGAUCUAGGAUACAGAAAGCAUUUAAAGAGGACGCUGCUUUAAAACCCCCUUUUUAAUGUUACUUACAAAGUCUAUACAUAGGAAAUAACUAUAUAUAACACAAUUUCAUAUCAGCAGCUAUUAUACUCAAUACAUGGUAACAGCUUUAGAAUUAAAAGAAGAAACAGAGCUACCUAAGCUAUUGAUUAGCUGAAUUAUAAACAAAACUUAGUUUACCAUACUGUUCAAGUUAUAAGCAGUUACUUUUUUUGCGUUUUGAUGAAAUCAUAUAUAGCAGUGGAGCUGCCCAAAAUUUCUUAAAACCCCUACUUGUGUCAAUAUCUUAAAGAAUAACUUUCCCCAUUCUUCAGUUCUCUUAUAACAUGGAAAUAAUACAUAUCUUAUAAAAAUGGCAUACAUUUACCAUCUAAGCACAUCACAAUUUUAUGUGUGCUAUUGCAAAGCCUGCAUAACCAGUUAAGCAGCUCCUAGGCAAACAGAAGCCUUGUUACACUAGGCUGUUUUAGUCUGAAAGUUCAGUAACUUGUUUUGACUUUGUGCUGUAUACCAAAUAUCUAAAACAAAGACAGCUUACAUUAGACAGCACUAGGGACAGCUGCAGAGCAGAGAGUGAAACCAAAGUGGUCAUAUGAUAGGAAAUAAAUACAACAAAUCUCUCCUGGUGCUAAUGCAGAUAAUAUUAGGAACACCAGCUGUUCCUGGUCACAAUAAUUGUUAUACUUAACUGAACUUUUUUGACCUUAAUCUGACAAGAAUUUUAUUGCCACUUGCAUUGUGGUUUGGCUCUCCCCCACACACACACUUUCCUAUGUGGACCUCACUUUCUCAUUUAUAUUCAAAGUAACCCUGAACUCAUAUAACACUCUUCAUCUGUAGAUCUUAAUGGACCUCCUUCUGACUUUGGUUUAUUGUUAAUCUCUUUUUACAGGUAUGAGAAGAGAGGAGUAAUUUGCCAUUGUUUGUCCAGUAGAUUGAAACAGUGCCUCUAAACCCUCCACUGUUAAAAACAGUGGAUGUGCACUUUCAACUUGGCUGAAUGGGAGCUUAUAAGGAGAAAGAUUAUUGAAAUCUGCUAUGGACCUCAGUACAAAGCUCAAGGUAGAAUACUAAAAAGGAAUAGCAGAUUCAACUGGAUUAUAGAGAAGGACCAGGAAAUACCAGUUUUGCACCAAUUUAACCAUUUUAAUUAAUGGCAUGAUUUUCUCUCUUACUGUAUUACUUGAAUCUUAUACACAUUUGCAGAAUUUUUUAACCAUUUUAAGAUUUUAUUUUUAAAAUAUUUGCUAAGAGGAUCAUUUGAGGUGCAGCACAAAAGCUCAGUAAAGUAUACCUAGACUUCCAGUGAAUAGUACCUAAAGGGGAAGGGAAGAGUCAUCUCUGAACCUUAUUGUGUUAAGAUGUAUAUAUAGCUGCAAAACACAUUUUCUUUCCAUGAUUACUCAUAAUACAUUUGUAGUGUGCUAGGAAUUUAUCCAAAGUGAUGUGUGUGAUGUUUUUCAUUUUUUUGUUCUCAAAUUACAAGUUAAGCACAUCAGUCAAAAACUAACAGGAGCUGGGACAUACAGCAUCUCAGAGGCAUAAGCUGCUCAUUUUCCCACCUGUGCCUGGCUCUCCUCUGUGCCAGCAAGGGCCACCAAGUCCUGCUGCACUCGGAGCCUGUGAGCUGCUGCCUCGAACAGAUGCCCUGUUCAAGAUGCGGUAGCUCCUGUUCCUUCUGCAUGCCACUUAAGUUAUCCAUACCACAUUUUUGGCAUCUCUGAUAUGGAUUACUACUGCUUUAGUUUUCAACUCUGCAUGUAUUUAUGGCCCAUAAAUACUAGUGAAGUCUUAUACAAAAAUUUACUAGUUUGGAGCUGCCCUUUCCUGCAAUCAGCGUAGUUUUUAAAUUUUUGCUCUAAUAAGUAUAUUGUUCCAAUAAUGCAUAAUUUGAUAUGGAUAUUUAUUUAAAAUCUCCCAGUAUAUGUUUUUAGUUAUAUCUAAAUACUUCUGUUAAACACUGCCAGAACUUAAUUUUAUAAAAUCAUACUUUUGCACAAAAUACCAUCUAGCAGAAUCCGUCUGUGAAAUAGUUGUUUUAUUCCAAAUGGCCUAACCAUGCACCUUUGAAAAUCUAUCCCGUAGAUAGAUUUUUUUUUUCCACACUGCCUGAUAAGCCCCUCUAUCUGCAGCUCUUUGCGUUUUUGAUCCCACAUACUGUACAAGGUUAACAAUGAUAUGGUUUCUGAAUUAUUUAAUCUGAAUUAAAAUAAUCAAUACCAAUUGAUACUGGCAUUGAUACCAAAGGAGAUGGUCCUUCAUUGUUCCUGCGCCAGUCACGCAGUCCUGCCUGUCUACUGGACCUUCCUUUGUGCUGGGACAUGGUGCAAUUGAGCAGUAAAGCAGAUCCGGCUUAAACUUAACUGAUUUUCUUUCUGCUGGGCUAGUUUUAACCAAAUCCAGUUUGCUAUGCACCCACAUAAAUGCUUUUCUAGGCACAAGGCUCUAGGCUCGGGUGUAAAAAUGAACAGCUUAUGGCAGAAGAAGGAUAGUCUUUCUCAGCCCUACUCUUGUCUUAUGAUCAUGAAACUAUGACACCACUCAUUUUGAAAUUCAGUUUAUAAUUUAACAUUGGCAAGCAUGGCUGAUUAAUAAAGUCUUUAACUGUUCACAAACUAUACAAAGAAGAUCAGAAAUAGAGAUUUAAAAUGCACAACUGAUCUUUCCAUCUUAUGAAAUCACACCAACCAAACCUAGUAUGCCAAACCUCAACUGCUCUUAACCUAGACUGGUAUAUGCUGUGCUCACAGUAUGGUCAAAACAAUCUAAAGAAAAUGGGUCUCAAAAGACAGAGUGUAAGAUUCCAGUAAUUGCUAUCCAUGACACUGAUUUCCACUGAAGAAUUCCUGGAACUCACCCUUGCCCCAAUUUUCCUAGCUUGUACUUCCUAUAUUUUUCUUAGGUAAACCCUGCUACCAUUCUUUUAACACUUUAUUAUUGCAACUUUUAAAAUGGUCAAAUCACAGGAAACUUAAAAAGUGAGUUAGAAGUUUGUUGUCUGCAAUUUUACAGAUUAUGCCCAGAUACUUUAUUUAGACUUAUGUUCAGUUGAUAACAAGGCAGGGUGUGGCAUAUUUUUCAACUCUAUACUCUUUAAAUAUUUGAAAUGUGUUCUCUAUUGUCUAUGACUCUAUGCUCAAUUUUUUAUUUACUAUAUCAUUCAUUCAAUUACACUGUUCCAAGUGUAAGUGGGACCUACCCAUAGUCUGUAAUACCAGGUUAUGUAAUCAGAUUAAAAAGCCAUCUGCAGCACAAACUGAAGCUGCAUUAUAAUCAUGUUCCCUGGCUCACUUAGAACUUUGGCUUACACAGGAUCUGUGUCUUGUCAGAUCAUUCACUGACCUCUCCAUUACUCUUCUUCUGGUUCUGCAAGCUGAAAAUGCAUGGUAACUGAUAUGGUCGAAUAUUUUAGUGAUUAAAUCAUUAUGCUUUGAGUACAGUCAGUUCAGAUACCAUUUCUUAGAUUUAAGGGAAUAUUCGUGACAGUUUGAAAGGAAAGCAAAACCUCAAUAUUCAGUGCUUAUACUUUGACAGGAUGUGAAGAAAAAUGCAUCGAAAGUUUGCAUCUUCUGUCACUCUGCUGUAGACAGCUGUACUAGCAAUUGGUUUAAUGAUAAUGCCUCUCUAAUGUAGUUGUGUAAAUUCCUGAAACUAAAAAUUACUUGCUUUUAACAUGUAUUUUCACAGUAUCUAUGUUAACUGGUCUUGUACACAGCAAGGUCCCGGAUCAUCACUUGCAAAAACAAAAAAAACCCACAACAUUCUCACGUUGUUGUUGUUUCAUGUUUAUUAACCAAAAGGCCUUUUAAAUAAUAAAAUAGAAAGUUUGCCCUGUAA